rnacentral:rRNA from 1 species
AACGCAGCGAAGGGCGAUACGUAAUGUGAAUUGCAGAAUUCAGUGAAUCAUCGAAUCUUUGAACGCAUAUUGCGCUCUCUGGUAUUCCGGAGAGCAUGCUUGUUUGAGUAUCAGUAAACACCUCAGCUCUCUUUUUCUUGAAAUAAAGAGCUGGACUUGAGUGAUCCCAACGCUUUCUCGAAAGUGGCGGGUUACUUGAAAUGCAGGUGCAGCUGAACUUUUCUCUGAGCUAUAAGCAUAUCUAUUUAGUCUGCCUCAAAAACAGAUUAUUACCUUUGCUGCAGCUAACAUAAAGGAGACUGGUUCUUGUGCUGACUGAUGCAGGAUUCACAGAGACCGCUUCGGCUGUCUUUGUAAACUCGAUCUCAAAUCAAGUAAGACUACCCGCUGAACUUAA